UGGGGAAUAUUGCACAAUGGGCGAAAGCCUGAUGCAGCAACGCCGCGUGCGGGAUGACGGCCUUCGGGUUGUAAACCGCUUUCAGCAGGGACGAAGGUUUUCUGACGGUACCUGCAGAAGAAGCACCGGCUAACUACGUGCCAGCAGCCGCGGUGAUACGUAGGGUGCGAGCGUUGUCCGGAAUUAUUGGGCGUAAAGAGCUUGUAGGCGGUCCGUUGCGUCGGAAGUGAAAACUCAGGGCUUAACCCUGAGCCUGCUUUCGAUACGGGCGGACUUGAGGGAUGUAGGGGAGAACGGAAUUCCUGGUGGAGCGGUGGAAUGCGCAGAUAUCAGGAGGAACACCAGUGGCGAAGGCGGUUCUCUGGACAUUUCCUGACGCUGAGAAGCGAAAGCGUGGGGAGCAAACAGGCUUANAUACCCUGGUAGUCCACGCCGUAAACGGUGGGCANUAGGUGUGGGACCCA
rnacentral:rRNA from 1 species